GUGAGUCAUCGAGUCUUGAACGCACAUUGCACUCCCUGGUUCGCCAGAGAGUAUACCUGUUUGAGUAUCAACUAGUCAUCUACGCCUAGCGUGGGACAUGGCGGUUCGCGCGAGCAGCCGCUCUGCGCAAUCCGCUGAAAAGCAUGCAGGCUAGCACAUGUAUGUGCGUCCAAAGUGUGGUGAGACAAUGACCGAAGCACUAAGGGGGCGUGGCAGCGUGUGGCCGAGCGGCAACCGUGUAUCCGUACACACGACAAAGUGAUCUCAAAUCAGGCAGGACUACCCGCUGAACUUAAGCAUAUCAAUAAGGCGAGG
rnacentral:rRNA from 1 species